GGGGUGCUAUACAUGCAAGUCGAACGCGUUGGCCCAAUUGAUUGAUGGUGCUUGCACCUGAUUGAUUUUGGUCGCCAACGAGUGGCGGACGGGUGAGUAACACGUAGGUAACCUGCCCAGAAGCGGGGGACAACAUUUGGAAACAGAUGCUAAUACCGCAUAACAACGUUGUUCGCAUGAACAACGCUUAAAAGAUGGCUUCUCGCUAUCACUUCUGGAUGGACCUGCGGUGCAUUAGCUUGUUGGUGGGGUAACGGCCUACCAAGGCGAUGAUGCAUAGCCGAGUUGAGAGACUGAUCGGCCACAAUGGGACUGAGACACGGCCCAUACUCCUACGGGAGGCAGCAGUAGGGAAUCUUCCACAAUGGGCGCAAGCCUGAUGGAGCAACACCGCGUGAGUGAAGAAGGGUUUCGGCUCGUAAAGCUCUGUUGUUAAAGAAGAACACGUAUGAGAGUAACUGUUCAUACGUUGACGGUAUUUAACCAGAAAGUCACGGCUAACUACGUGCCAGCAGCCGCGGUAAUACGUAGGUGGCAAGCGUUAUCCGGAUUUAUUGGGCGUAAAGAGAGUGCAGGCGGUUUUCUAAGUCUGAUGUGAAAGCCUUCGGCUUAACCGGAGAAGUGCAUCGGAAACUGGAUAACUUGAGUGCAGAAGAGGGUAGUGGAACUCCAUGUGUAGCGGUGGAAUGCGUAGAUAUAUGGAAGAACACCAGUGGCGAAGGCGGCUACCUGGUCUGCAACUGACGCUGAGACUCGAAAGCAUGGGUAGCGAACAGGAUUAGAUACCCUGGUAGUCCAUGCCGUAAACGAUGAGUGCUAGGUGUUGGAGGGUUUCCGCCCUUCAGUGCCGGAGCUAACGCAUUAAGCACUCCGCCUGGGGAGUACGACCGCAAGGUUGAAACUCAAAGGAAUUGACGGGGGCCCGCACAAGCGGUGGAGCAUGUGGUUUAAUUCGAAGCUACGCGAAGAACCUUACCAGGUCUUGGCAUCUUGCGCCACCCUAAAAAUAGGGCGUUCCUUCGGGAACGAAUGACAGGGG
rnacentral:rRNA from 1 species